CUCGCUCCCCACUCUCGGCGUCCCUAACCCUAGCCGCACACUCUUCCUUUCCCACUCUCGGCUUAACCUAGCCGCACCAGUGAAGGCAGAUCUAGCACCUGGGCAGCGGCAAUGAUGAAUCAUCCUCCUUCCCAGCGGCGUGGAUGUGGAUUAGUGCCAUGGCGACCUAGCGCGCUCCCUUCCCGACCUUGACCUCGAAGAAAGGCUUCCCCUAGAUCGCUUUCCCGUUCGUGUAUGAUUUCCUUCUUCCAUCAAACAAUCACUCCUGAUGUCAUCUCAAUCUCAAUUUUGCAGAGGUGUUGCUAUAUUGGAUGUGGUGGAUUUAUUUGGGUAGAUCCUGGAGAUAGGGAGGGGGAGGUUGUGGCUGCGGGCAACGGCAAACACAGCCAACAGAGGCAUGGUGCUCCCCGCUGGUUCUACUGCCUGGUUGAACAAGCUCCUGAUCCAUGUUACAAGACAGGCUAGCUGCUAAUGGAUUUUCUGUGUUCCAAAGGCAAUUGGUUGGAUUCAAUUCAAUUCCUAUAAAUUGCAGGAGAGAUGCAAAUCAAUCAGAUUGUGCACUGCACGGUUUGCUUCUUAUGCUCGGUGCAGAUGUGAUGUAGUUAGAGAUUAGUUAUUAUGUGCAUCCGCGUUUGUACAUUUUUAAACGGUAUUUCAUUAGACAUGAGAACAGAUGUAAACUUCCAAGGUUCUUCUAUCAGCAUUGCGACA